rnacentral:rRNA from 1 species
CACGUAGGGCGCAAGCGUUGUCCGGAAUUAUUGGGCGUAAAGAGCUCGUAGGCGGUCUGUUGCGUCCGCUGUGAAAACUCGGGGCUUAACCCCGAGCCUGCAGUGGAUACGGGCAGACUAGAGUGCGGUAGGGGAGACUGGAAUUUACGGUGUAGCGGUGAAAUGCGUAGAUAUCGUAAGGAAGACCAGUGGCGAAGGCGGGUCUCUGGACAGUUCCUGACGCUGAGGCACGAAGGUCAGGGGAGCAAACGGG